GACAGCACCUCAGGCGGCCUUGCCAGGAGCCACCGGGUUUCAUCCUGGCCUGACCCAGAAAAAUCUUAUGGAAGAGAACAAGAGGCCCAAGAGCUCUCUGAUCUGCUGUCAACCAGCUGCAGGCGGGAGACUGCCAAAGUGCUGCAGUGACUAGGCAGCGCCCCACAGAGCCGUCUGGGAGGGGAUUACCAGCCUGAUCCCCGGUCUUCAGAGCCAGAAAUGACUCAAACUUCACAAACAGCAAAGGCCUGCCAGGGAGGGUGACAAUGAGCACUAGAGAGGGUUUUCUUGCCCUUGUUGCUGUCUCCAUGGCCCCCCACCCCCCUCGCUGCUGUGGCAGAGAUUCUGGACAGUGUGCAGCCUGUGAGGUAAUCUGAAUUCCUUGGCAACCAGCAAGUACCUGAAUUCUUUCAAAACCACAGGAAUCCAGCAGAGAAAAGAGGUCAUGGACUCUGGACAACUGGCAAAGAAUGACUGGCAUCCUGACAAGACUGAAACCAAGAGACUCCUUUUUACUAUCACAUCUUCCCUGUCCCCCCUUUUCCACAAACACAAGCCUUCUGUGGGCAAACACUGUACUGUCAAUGGUCCCAGCUGGAACAAUGAGUGCUAUCGGAGAAAUAGCCUCACCAAGGUGAAGCAGGAGAUCCUGAUGACGGAAAUCCCAGAGGAUGAACACCCCAAUGGGCAACCAGACCCAGACUGUUAAGUCUAACAGGUUAAGAAAACCACAAGUCAGGAAGUCUAGAGAGAACUUUCUCUUCCUCUCUCCAUGCUUCCUAAAACAGGAAGUCUCUCUCUUGGACUUACUGAGAAGAUAGAUAUCUAUGUGUCUGUCCUCCCAGACCCUCCUCAGAGAAGAGGCCUCUCUCACUGGUGAUACCGGGAAAUAGACACUAUGCACGCACGGCUCUGGGUCUUGAAGCAGUAAGGCCCAGUGGUGAAGAGCAUGGCCUCUGAAGCCAAACUGCAGAGUCUGAACCACCAUUUGCAAGCUACAUAACUUACAGAAAGCUCCUGACCUCUCAGUACCUCUUCAUCUGUAAAACUGGGAAUAACAAUGGUACCUACCUCAGAGUAGAAAUGCCACUUAGAAGAGGGCCUAACAGAAAGGAAAUGUUCGUUCCAUGUUAGCUUUUAUUAUUACUA